GCCACAAACUGAGCCGCAGAACCUCCCUUCUUCCCCCACCCACCUCUCCUGCUCUCUCCCUUCUCUGCGCCAGCCUAGGGCUCUGCACCAAAGCCAUAGGUUGGGGGAGCAGGAGCUGGUGUGCCCCGGAGCGGUGCGGCCAACCCUCCACCAGCUCCAGGCGCCAAAUCUUGGUGGCAGGGAGGGCACCCCGCUGCCUGUUGCCCCAGAGCUGUUCCCUGGCAGGGGAGGACAGGCAUUAGGCCCCAUGGUGCCGGGGUGUUCAGAGAGGCUGAGGAAUAGAACAGUGUGUAGGGGCUUGGGGCAGCGGGUUCUGGAGUGUCAGAUGAGGUGGAGGCCAGGGGAGGACAGGGGUGUUAGUGCCCCCAACUCCUGCCAGAGCCCCAGUCCAGCCACAGAGUGGCUCAGCAAGGCCAUUAAGAGAGCUCCCUUCUCCCUUGCCCAUGCCCCUAGAGCUGCCUCUCAGGCAGGGCGGCACCACUGCAGGAGAGGAGCUUGGCCUCUGGGAGUCAGGCAGGAGGGGCCUGGCUAGCCAGUGCUGGCUCCACUGGGCAGGGAGCCCUGGACCCCCAGGUAUGAGGAGGGGGUGGGCUUAGAGUCCUGUUCCAGGUCCGUCCCCCACCUAGCAAGGCCCCAGGCGGAACUUGGAAUUCGGCCUGCAGGCCGAGGGGCUCCACAAGCAGGUGCUGCUCGCACAGGGAGUUCAGGCGCCAGCCAAGCCCCUGUGCUUCUGUGGUAGGCCUGCUUCACUUAGGGAGCGCUGCCUCAAGGCAGAUAAAGCUCCCUUGUUUGCCCCGACACCCAUGGGGACCUCUCAAGAGAGAAACUCCCGUUCACCCCUUUCCCAGGGCACUCGCUCUCUAGGUGGCAUGCCAGCCCCCAAACACAGGUGGCUUUUGGGCCCAGGUGGGUCAGCCUGCUGCCCCUGCCCUAUACCCUCUCAGGCCGUUGGGACCCCUGCCCUUCAGAUGUCCAAGGGUCUAGGAGUGGGGCCAGUCACCAUGAGAAGAGGCCAAGGGCUUGGCAGGAGAGGCGGCCCAGGUAGGACCCAGUCCUGAGUCCAGAGCAGGGCCAGGGAGGUGCCCACCCCGCCCCGGCCAGCCGCCCUCUCUCUUGUUUCUUCUAUUUGUUCUUCUUUUCACCCACAGCCCUGUGUUCUUGUCAUCCCUCCUUUCAGCAAAAGUCCUGUUCCCCUUCCCUCUGUCCCCACCCACUCCUGUUCCCCAAGAAAAUAAGCUAUCAUUGUUGUAUUUGCAAUCUAUGGAUUAGAGGUUUAAGUAUUUAUUAUUAUUGGUUAAUUAUUAUUAAUUAUGUAAAUUUGCCUCCCGUCUGUCUGUUGCAUUGGGUUUCUGAGGAGGCCCUGGGUGAGGAGGAUGCACUGGCUCCCCGCUUCUCGCCCCCCACCCCUGUGCUGUCCAGGAGGCAGUGGUCCGGGGCCACUGGUUGGGCCCCCCUCCUCCCCUCCCCUUGUCCCUUCUCCAGGCUGUGUGGGGGGGUGGUCCUGUCUGUCUCAGUCUGUCUCUGCUCCCACUCUUGAGGCACUGGUCACCCCAAAGUGAGCUGCCAGGGUGGGGAAGAAGGUCCUGUGUUGGCCACUGCCUCCUCCAGUGCUGCGGGAGGCGGGCUGGGGCCCCACCUGAUGGCUUUCUCCCCACUGGGCCCUGAGUCCUCUCCAAGCCUCUCUCCCACCCCUCUCACCCGGCCACUGCCUGGCAUUGGGAUCGCCCCACAAUGGACCCGGCCCCUCCUGUUAUUUGCUGGGAAGUCCAGCGGAGGAGAGGGUGCAGGUCCCCCGCCGAGCCUCCAGUCUCUGUGGACUGGGCUGCCGGCCCUUCCGCACCCCCUUAGAGCCCCUCCCGCCGCGGCUGCACCUUCCGCUCCGGGCCCCUCCCUUUGUAUUUGGAGACAAUGUGUUGUAAUAAAGCUUAAAGUGGAUGUUUU
rnacentral:lncRNA from 1 species